AAGAAAUAAUGGAUAUUAAUACAAGAUUUAGCAAAGAACGUUUCCAAUGAAGCAAAUUACCUCCAGUUUACUACUGAAUGAGACGGUAAUUUUAUGUUGUUGAUCUGAUCAUGUGUUUAUUUUAUAUUAAGUGAGAUGUCCAGUGAAUUUUACUUUUAAAACCAGCAUAAAUAACACGUGAAAUGUCUAUUAUGGUUUCCACACAUUGAAUAUUUGGGUAGAGGCCUUUGGCUAAUAAAAUUCGCCAUAAGCCUUUGACCAGAACUAGGCCUACACUCAGCAAUAUCAAGACUAGACCUAGGCUACAAUCAUCGUCUCAGGGGCCGCUCUUGCUCCUAAAGGUUUGUGAUUCCCAUCAUUGUCGACACCGGAAGACCCAGAUGUUGUUCGGAGCGAAUGACACAAUGUUUUACUUCUAAAAGAAUCUCGGUAUCAUUGUCAUGCUGAUCGUAGUGAUGGUAGUAUCAUCACAACGUACAUUAGGAUACAGAGAGGGGAAUGUAUUCGGACCUAGUGACGUAGAGCAGAAAGUUCUGCACAAAAGAAGUUCUGCUAGUGUUCCUUUAAGAGACCUUUCCAUCUCGUGGCGUCAACCAGCAGUGGCCUUCGUCAGCAGGGAUCUUCUACCAUCUGCU